UUACCAUGAGUAGCAUCAUAUAGCCUUUGUCAUGCAUCAUGCUCGGUUGAGCAUCUUGUCAUGUUUAUGUGUUGUGUGUUUACCAUGUGGUUUGCUCCUUUCCGGUUGUGCUUCUUCUCGAUAGUUCUUGUUUUGUUGCGAUCGUGAGGAUUCGUUCGUCUAAGCUUGGUUCAUCUUCGCCCGUUCGUCUUCUUCAUGGACUCGUUCUUCUUCCUUGCGGGAUUUCAGGCCUCACUACUAUCAUUGCUAUGCUAGUUGCUUCGUUCUAUCGCUAUGCUGCGUUACCUAUCACUUGUUUAUCAAGCCUCCCAAAUUCCCAUGUCGUCCUCUAACAUUUUCCACCCUUCCUAGCAAACUGUUGCUUGGCUAUGUUACCGCUUUGCUCAGCCCCUCUUAUAGCGUUGUUAGUUGUAGGUGAAGUCCAAGAUUGCUCCAUGAUGGACAGGAUUAUGUUGGGAUAUCACAAUAUCUCUUUUUAUUUAAUGCAUCUAUAUACUUGGUAAAGGGUGGAAGGCUCGGACUUAUGCCUGGUGUUUUGUUCCACUCUCGCCGCCUUAGUUUCCAUCAUACCGGUGUUAUGUUCCUUGAUUUUGCGUUCCUUACGCGGCCGGGUGUAUGGGGACCCUUGACAGUUCGCUUUGAAUAAAACUCCUCCAGCAAGGCCCAACUUUGGUUUUACAUUUGCCUAACAACCUAUAACUUUCCCUUGGGGUUGCAAACUCGAGGGUCAUCUUUAUUUUAAACCCCCGGGUCAGUGCUCCUCUGAGUGUUGGUCCAAACUAGAGCCCUUUGCGGUGCCCCCUCAGGGAAACUUGAGGUCUGGUUUUAGUUGUACGGAUUGCUCAUCCGUUGUGCCCUGAGAACGAGAUAUGUGCAGCUCCUAUCGGGAUUUGUCGGCACAGUCGGGUGGUCUUGCUGGUCUUGUUUUACCAUUGUCGAAAUGUCUUGUAACCAGGAUUUCGAGACUGAUCGGGUCUUCCCGGGAGAAGGAAUAUCCUUCGUUGGUUGUGAGAGCUUAUAAUGGGCUAAGUUGGGACACCCCUGCAGGGUAUAAACUUUCGAAAGCCAUGCCCGCAGUUAUGUGGCAGAUGGGAAUUUGUUAAUGUUCGGUUGUAGAGAACUUGACACCAGAUUCAAAUUAAAAUGCAUCAACCGCGUGUGUAGCCGUGAUGGUCUCUUCUCGGCGGAGUCCGAGAGGUGAACACAAUUUGGGUUAUGUAUGAACAUAAGUAGUUUCAGGAUCACUUCUUGAUCACUUCUAGCUUCUCGACCGUUGCAUUUCUUCUCUUCUCGCUCUUAUUUGCGUAUGUUAGCCACCAUAUAUGCUUAGUCGCUGCUGCAACCUCACCACUUAUCCUUUCCUUACCCAUUAAGCUUUCCUAGUCUUGAUACCCAUGGUAAUGGGAUUACUGAGUCCUCCUGGAUCACAGAUUACUACAACAACAGUUGUAGGUAAAGGUUAUGCGAUGAUCAUGACGCGAGAGCGAUGUUACUUGUUUCGGAGUUCUUCUUCUUCUUCUUCUUCUUCGAUCAGGGGAUAGGUUCCAGGUCGGCAGCCUGGGUUAGCAGUUCCACAAGGACGACUCCAAAGCUGUAAACAUCACUUUUCUCAGUUAAUCGGCCUGUGUAAAAGUACAUAGGAUCCCAAUAUCCUCUCGUACCUUGCGCCCUUGUGGUAACCCUAGAUAUAUCCAUCGGAAUGUAAUUUGAAGCUCCAAAAUCUGCUACCUUUGCCGUCAGAGUAUCAUCCAACAAUAUGUUAGCACUCUUGACAUCCCUAUGGAUUAUAGGGAUUGAAGCAGCCGAGUGAAGAUAUGCUAGGUAUUUUGCUGCCUCAAUGGCUAUCCGCAACCUGUUAUCCCAAGACAAUGAUUUUGGUCCUUCUACAUGAAGAUGCUCGUAAAGGGUUCCAUUAGAUAUGAACUCAUAGACCAACAUUGGGACUUCAGUUUCAAGGCAACAACCAUAUAGUUUAACAACAUUUCUAUGGUUGAUUUGUGAUAGGAUAGCUACCUCAUUGAUCUCCAUCCGCACGAUGUUUUUGGGUUUCUUGAUGGCUACAAUAUGUUGGUUCGAUAAAAUCCCUUUGUAAACAAUACCAUGUCCCCCACCUCCAAUGACGAGAUCAUUAUCAAAACAAUGUGUUGCCUUCUCUAGCUCUUCCAAGGUUAUGAUCAUCCUUUCUGCAAUACCAGCACUUUGGGAUACAAACUAUUGCAAUAAUUGUCCGUGAUUUUGUUUGAAGAACUUGCGCUUUAACAUUUUAGCCCUCUCGUAUUUUAGUUUCUUCAUAAUCAACAACCCAAGCAGAAACAGAAGUACGACUCCAGCUGCAGCAACAACAACUCCUACAACGGCGCUCGUACCUGAAAGUAUACACAAUAUAGUUACAUGUUAUUGUUCUACAUGGACCAUAAUACAUAUAGCAAAAACGUUGCAGUGUUUCUCACCUUUAAACUGUUUGCGGCGACUGCCUAGAGGAGACAAGAAAAAAGGGAGGGAGUAUAAAAUUAGAAUAUAUAAUAGUAUAGAUAAGCAAUAAUGCAAAUUAAGCUCGCGUAUGUGUGCGAGAUGCUUCCAUGCUAACCUUUACAUCCAUCCGCGGUGUAAGGGUUGCCGUCAUAACCGUCACUACAAUGGCAUGAAUAACCUCUGAUCCUUGGUUUGCAGAGGCUAUUGUUGCUCCUACAGAUGCCGGGACACAUGGCAUACUGGUGAUGCCAACUCACAUUGGCUGGUGCAUGUGAGUUAAUAGGUUGCAACUGCAAUAUUUCCCAGUCUAGAACAAUUUGAACCUCCAACCUAGGAGCAAGAUAUUUUGUUGACAGUGACCGUGACAGCUGGGAGUAGACCCAAUGCUUGUUGAACCACCCUUGCUCUGCAAUGAGUGCGUAUGAAUGCGGCAAUGCCUCAUCCCAUACGCUAUUGGGGUCCAUUCAAUCAAUCCAGAAUUCACUAGGCAUGCCGUCCCUAGACAUGGUGAUCUGGGCCUGGCAGCAUCCAUUGCCGAAGCAGUACUCACCGUUGUCAUCGAUAUUGGGAGAUGACCUUGCAUCAUAGGCUCUACUCUUGUUUGAGGAGCAGAAGAAGGAGCAACUACUAAGGAUGACCCGGUUAUUGCCAGCACUGGACAACCCUGCCUGCACCCUGCAGCCAAUGACGAUAAGCUCAUUGCGAGUUGAUAACGUGUAGGGCACAUUGUCUCCAUGGCUAAUCCCAAAAUUGAUAACAUUAACACUGGCUACCCCGCCAUAGAUGCCAUGCACUCGGUUGCUGUUGAUGACUCGCACGGUGCUAUUGUGGAGGGAGAUGUCAACAACUUGAAGAGUGCUGAGCAUCAGUCGUGCGGGGUUGUAGCUUGUGUCACAGGUGAGGUUGAACCCUGGCAGAUAGCACUUGUGCGAGCCAAUGCCGAAUGGGUAUGGCACACUCAUGUUGCCACAUAACCUGCUACAGCUAUCUGCAGGUGCAUAUGCUUUGCCUGCAUUAGUUUUUGAGGAAUGACAAUAUGUUUCCCUACUCUAUGCAUUUUAAAAUUUCAAAAGUAUUCUACCUGUACAGAGUGGAAAAACAAGAAGGACAAGGCCAAUACAAAAGCAUUAAUCCCAUGUGGAAAGAAAAAUAAAUAAAUAAAGGCUUCAGCCCGUGAUUGAACUCCGAGGUGGGAUUUUCUCUUCACUCUACAUCACAAUUUCAUCCCUAAGUUUCUAUGCAAACAUUAAUUAACCAUAGUUUUUAAUUUGAUAUAACAUAUAUAAGUAGCAUGCAAGCAUCUCAAUCAGAGUAUAUGCAUGUACUCUAGCUACAAAAAACAAGAAGAAAACAAAGGUAUAGAUAUUAAAUAAAAAUACAUCCUAUACUUAAAUCAUAUCAAUAUUUUCCUUUUAUGUAGUGGGCACGUAUAUCUAUACAAAUCAUUUUAUAGGAAGAAUAAUGCAUGAACACAUGUAGAUCAAUACCAUAACAAAAAGAAAGAAAACCGGAGAUAUAUACUACAUGAUGGGCCAGCAGUGAUUACUGUUUGUAGACCGAACUUCUAUUAUAUUUAUAUAGUCCCUCUUUAUUGUUGGAUGCAAGUUGUCUCAUCCUGAAGCUUGAUAAUUUUACUAACAUUCACACAACAUAGAAAAUUAUUUCAUUAAUCAGGUGAUUGCCCGGGACCAACAUGGUGAUAGCGAGAGCUUAAAAAGCUAUAUCGUGAAAUUCUUUAAACUUUAUAAGGACAAGGACUACAAACAUAUGCCCUACAUUCCCAUGUAAUUCCUUCUCUACUUAGUAGCAUACCAGUUUUCCAUUUCUUAAUGGAACUAGUUUUGUAUGUUCACUUUUUUGAUCUCAUUUGCACAUCAACCAUGGAUACUCAUUAGGAUCAUUUUGAGUGAUACGUCUACAUAUUUUUUUGAUUCCCAAAUAACAUCCAAAAUAUCAGAUACUACGCAGCACUACAACAAUAAAAAGAAAGUUUUAGUUUAUGUAUACUUCAACUUCUGUACAAGGGAUCAAAUGUAAGGACAAGGGGAACGAGAAAUUGGAACACAAGUUUGACAACUGGGUCACACAUCAAAUGGAACAUAGUAGCACAUUGGGGUAAUUUGUCCAUAUCAAUGCAGAUGCAGAGCACGUUGUACAUAGGGGGGGGGGGUAAAUUAUGGACUAUGGAACUAGGACACGAGUCACCACCGAUGGGUACAGAUCACGACAACCUGUCAAUAGUGGUAAUUACAUCAACUGCCUUACAAGUGUCAUUACUGAUGCAUGACCUGCUAGCGCUAAUACCAUGGCACAGAUAGGAAUCCUGACCCAUUAGUCACCAUUGACAAAAACUUAUUGAUGGGUCUCCACCGACAAUGUUAUGGGCUUUUGACAUAAACCUGAUCAAGGGCAGCCUGGCAUCCAAGACAGGCUUGGGAUCGACUUUUCUGCCCAAACCCAUCCCGGAAGCCCAGAAAAAAAAUCUUUAAAUGGGCAAAUUUUAUUUUUUCAAAAAUUAAUUUUGUAUAGUGGUGAAGUUGGCUUUUCAUGAGUGGUGACAUGUUCUUUUUUUCUGUACUAUUGGUGUGUUCUUUACCAGUGCAUAUAUACUUUUGUAUUGCAUUAUUGAUUUGUUGUCGACAUAUAUUCCAAUAGAACUUGGCUGUAAAAUUCUAACCAUGGAUAGUGGAGACUACAUGUCUCGGUAUCCUAAAUGACUCACAUUUGUGAUGCGGGUGUAUCAUAGUGUAAAUAUAUUCAAUAUAAAUUAUGCCAUGAUCAAUUGAUAAAUAUAUUUGGAAUUGCUUGUCCAGCUAAAAAUUUGAUAUAUUCUAGUCCAGUAACUUAGAUGGUCUAAUUCAAAAUCCGUGAUUUUAUUCUUGUCAAUGGUUUUUAGUUUAUCCUGAAUGGUCUCAUUGAUCCUUUUUAAUUCUAUAUGCUCACUAAGCUUAGCAAACAAUCGUAGAUGCUUUGAUUUUCUUUUAUUUUGUUUUUGAGUGGUUUCCAUGCUAUGCUAAAAAUGAGGUUAUAAGUUUACAAUUCUAGAUCCUUCCAACUACAUAUCAUAUAUAUAACUUUGUGUAUCUAAAUCUUUUGCAACUAUUGUGAUACAUACUAUUUUUUCAAUAAUUAUUUAUUUUUGUGCCCAUCCAGCAUGCUCAACGUUUUAUUUAUAUAGCCUGUAAUUUUAAGUUUGCACAUUUCCUAAAACUUAACAUUAAGAAUCAACAUAUCUUUAGAAUAUGUAUUAUUUAUUGACCUUAUAAUUAUUUUUCUUUACAAAACAAGAAUAAGAUUAUAAAUGUACACUUACGAGCUGUAUAAUUUAUGUAUCAUUGUUUCAUAUACUAAAAUUAUACCACUUUAUUACCAUAAUAUAUUUGCACUCAUAUUAAGAUUGUUUUAUCUUGGUUAAGAAGAGCAAGAUUUUUUAUUUAUCUUAAUUAGUUUUUUCUUCUAUUUAGGUAUAUUUAGAAUUAUAUUUUCAUACUUACCAACUACAUGUGAAUUUGAUUGAUGGGAGAUUACAAAGUCAUUGCCAAGCACAUCAUAGUUAUUGAUAUGGGUUUAUUAGUCCAAAAGGUCAACCUUGGCGAAGUUGGUUGACAUUUUAUUAAAUCUAGUUUAGCUUUGUAUGUUGAUUAACAACUAUUUGGCAGUGGCACAUUUGUUUCUAAAUUUGAGUAUUAUUUAUGUCUCUAAUGUGCAACUUAUGCAGUUUUACAAUUGAUCAUGUGCAACAUAUAUUAUAACUAAUUUCAUUUAUAGUUGACCAAGGAUCUGAGAUCUUUAAUAUACUACUUGAGUUGUCUUCUCAAAAGGUAAAUGUGGAAGAAAGAAAAGGUGCUUACCUGUGAGGAUACUAAAGCAACCACCGGGCAUGUAGGGGUCGCCAUGGGUUCCUUGUGGACACCGACACUGAAAUGCACCAUCCGUGUUGGUACAUUGACCAUAGCACCUAUUGAUUUGGAAUUCUGCAUGCUUGCACUCGUCGAUGUCUAUACAGUGUACAUAUAUUAAGCUAGUUAGUGUGAAGCCCAUGUCCAAAAUCUAAAGUCACGUACAUAAAUACCUCACAUUUAUUUGAGUAUUUUUUAAUAAUAAUAAUAAUCACACAAAUGUCCCUGCAAAUCUUAUUUAGUUUAGAAUUAUAUUGAUAGUACUUAACUUACCAGAAAGUAAGUAUGAAUAGUAUAUGAUAUAUGAAAAUAGUUGGAUAGUACAUCUAAUAAUUUUUAGGUAGUAUGUACAAUAUUUUUGGGCAUUCGUUCACAUGCACAAUAUUUUAACCAGGACUAUUAAGGUGGGAAGAAGCAUGCAAGCACCAAACUUUAUUAUAACUAGAGGGAAAAUGUACACACCAGAAAAUCAGAAAACAAAUUAUUUUUUAUGGCGGUUUUCCAUUAUUAUUAUUUUGCGGGGACAUAAAUUGACAAUGUAACGACAUAAACUCUCAUUGUCCAGAUGUCAUUAAGCCAAACAACUGACAAAAUAAUAAUUGGUCUUAUGAGCUGCACCAUGUGCUACUGAAUUGUGAUAUGUAAAUUCUAGUCGAGUCAGAUUAAUCAUGUUAGAUUGAAUCCCUAAAGGAGUACUCCUUUUGUCAGGGUUUACUGGCCCCCUCGUAUUUUAAAUCAAACCCUGACCAUUAAUAGUUACAUAUAAAAUAUAUUCUACAAAAAUAUAUUGUUGUGUUUGCAUUCAAAGGAAGUUUCGUACGGUAUAAUUUUUAUGACAUAUAAUUUAUAUUUUAUUAGUUUAAUCAAUGGUCAAACUUCGCCCCAAAAUAAGAGAGAGUCUAGUAAACUAGUAUACUAGCUGUUUGUAUCAAGUCCGGGUAGCAUCGUGUUGGACACGAGUUCAUGUUGAGUUGGACGAGCAAUGUAAACGCAAUUGCAACCAAUAGAAAAGUUGCAGGUUCUAGCUACAAAAAUCAGAUACGGAUGUAUCUAGACGUAUUUCAAUCCUUGAUACAUCCAUUUGAGUGACAAGUAAUAUGGAUCGGAGGGAGUAUAUUCCUCACUUUUGCUAUUAUUCAGGCGAUGCAUUUUGUCUUUUAAAUCAACCUUUUUUUAAUUCUUUUGUGUGUUGUUUGCUACUUGUUUGGACGCCAAUAAGUGUCACACGUGUGGGUGUUAGGGAGUCCGCCCACAUAUUUUUUGUGAUGUAUAAGAGGAACAGCCCACACACUUACGUGUGGGCAAAACAAGUAAUGCCCACACACCUCUUUUUUCCCCUCCCGACCCCUCUCACACGCGUGCGUGUGGGCGAAGUUGAUAACGCCCACACGCACGUAUGUCAGGCCUCGUACCUCCUAGUCCCGCACGCCACGCGUGAAAGUCACCGCGCGCCCGCAGUUGCCAUGAUCCAGACCCUCGUCCAUGUUCGUUUAACUGCAGUUGCCAUGUCGCUGAACUACGGUUGCCAUGUCGCUGAACUACGAUUGCCAUGGUUGCUCAACUACAGUUGCCAUGUAUGGUCACAAGCAUACAUGGGCAGUUGAGAGAGUUGCCAUGUGCUCACAAGCAUGCUAGGGCAGUUGCCAUGUAAAAGGAAGAGUUUCCAUCUGCUUACGUGCGCGUUAGGGCUAUUGCCAUGUACGUGCACGUUAGGGCAGUUGCCAUGUACCAUGCAAAAACACACGGCAACUCGGUAAAAGAGAGUUGUCAUCUGCUUACGUGCACACUAGGCAGUUGCCGUGUACCCUGCAAAAAACACAUGGCAACUCGGAUAAAAAAGAGAGUUGCCACCUUCUUAUAAAGCACACUAGGGGCAGUUGCCAGGUGCACUGCAAAACACACGGCAACUAGCAGGUUGGGUGUGACAGAGGAGACGGGCGUGUGGGCGAGAUGGCAAAUACCCACACACUAGCCCUUGUGCGUGCGUGCAAAGUGGCGUGUGGGCGAACUGCAUCUUGCCCACACACCAGCCCCUCCCGUGUGGUGAAACGGUCGUGUGGGCGACCGGGUGAACGCCCACAUACUAGGAGAGUCCUACGUGGCACUAGAAACAUGCCAAGAUGGCGCUUACGAACGGACGCGGAUCCACGUGUGUGGGCGCCAUGCAAACGCAAACACGUGUGGGCAUUAACAUUUUCGAUUUGUUUUUGUUUAUUGAUUUCCUAGUCGGUUUUUUCUUUGUCUCUGAGAUAACCCACCAUUCAUGCCGAACAAUAUAUUUUCUCUUUGUUGGUGUGUAUUCGUAUACAUGUUUCUAUUGUGCAUGCGGGUUUUUGUGUGUGCGCUUUUUGUUAUGCACAUGUGUGUACUCCCUCCGUUCCUAAAUACUUGUCUUUCUAGAGAUUUCAACAAGUGACUACAUACGGCGUAAAAUGAGUGAAUCUACACUUUAAAAUAUGUCUACAUACAUCCGUAUGUUGAGUCCAUUUAAAAUACCUAGAAAGACAAGUAUUUGGGAACGGAGGGAGUAUGUGUGUGUGCAUGCAUCAGUGUGUGUUUCCCGCUGGACGCCCGUGUGGUUGGAAUGUAGCACAUGACAUGGACACAUUUUCUAAACCAACAAUAUGUAGUAUUGUACCUUCAUUUUGAAUUAGUUAGAUUUGUUUAAAUACGGAUGUUUAUAUAGUCAUGCUUAGUGUUAGGUACGUCCGUAUCAAAAGAAAUCUAAGAUAAUGCUACACGCAGGGACUCGGGGUUAUGGAUUCAACGAAAUGUAAUUGGGUGGCAGUUUAUUUAUUGAAGAUUAGGAGUGAGGCGGGGCUCACCCCAUGAAAAUCAGGGGUGGAGAUUGUUAGCCCAAAACUAUGGACUAGCUAGUUCCCCGAGGAUCAACCAGGCAGAGGAUACACGGCCUAGAGCCAGCGCAAGCUAGCUAUACUAGCAGAGGAGGACGUGAACUCAAGGCAUCACACACACAGACGCACUAGUAAGAGUGGAGCUCACUUCUACUGCCUUGUACUGAAGCUGAAAAUGACUUGAGUUGAUUUACAUAUGAGGGACUAGGGGGGCGCAGAGUUUCUGCACCCGAGCUCAAAUGAACUCUGGUGAACAGUAAAAUCAAAACUAAAUAAAAAAAUCAAAAAAAUCCUUUUUUUUGGGAGAAAUAUUGACAAAAGUUUUAAGUGCUUGCAAAAAUUCGUCAUGAAAUCACAUUUUUAGAAGGCGUGGCAAAAAAAAAAAACAAAAUCGAUAUUCUCAAAAUGCUACUUUCAAAAGCAUUUUGGAGCACUGAAUUUGUUUUUUUUUGCCAUGCCUUACAGGAAUGUGAUUUCAUGAUGAAUCUUUGCAAGCACUUAGAACUUUUGUCAAUGUUUCUCUCAAAAAAAAUUGGAUUUUUUUUAUUUUACUGUUCACCGAGCUCAAAUGAAUUCGGGAGCAGAAAGGCACUUUCGGGACUAGGGGUCCUUUUAUAGGACUUGGAAUGGCACUUGCGAGACAAGCACGACGUAAGUGCACAACACCUUCCUAUCUACACUAGGAAACUACCACGUAGUUGCAUGUACAGCUCUAGUCUACUUCUAGUCAAUUUCCUUGCAACUACUAGGAAAUUACUUAGUAGUUGCACACCAAGGAAGCUAUUGAUGUUGCUGCCGCAUGCAUGCAACCGAAAGACUGAGGUUGACUCAACAAUCUCCCCCUCAACUUUGUCGAAGGAGCUUGGUCAGGAUGUCCGCCUUCUGCUCACCAGUCCUAAUGAACUCCACGAUCACCGUGCCUUUCUCGACGCAGUCACGUAUGAAGUGAUAGCGGAGAUCGAUGUGCUUACUGCGGUCAUGAAGCACUGGAUUCUUACAGAGGGAAAUCGCCGACUUGUUGUCGACGAAGAUGAGCGCAGGGGCGGUGUCCUGAUUCAGCAUCUCGCCGAGAUGGCGAGCAAGCCAAAUGCCUUGACAGGCCAAUGUAGCUGCCGCGAUGUAAUCCGCAUCGCACGAACAUGCGGCGACAACCUUCUGCCUCACCGAUUGCCAGCUGAUGGGACUAUUCCUGGGGAGGAACAAUAUGCCCGAGGUGCUCUUCCGGGAGUCCAUGUCACGAGCAUGGUCGGAGUCGUUGUAUCCGACCAAACUCUCGCCGUCGCCACGACAAUAUACGCAUCCAUGCGUGAGCGUACCCGCGAUGUACCGGAGCAGGUGCUUGACGGCAGCGAGGUGAUCGCUUGCCGGGGCUUCCAUGAACCUACUCAGGUACCCGACAACGAACGUGAUGUACGGUCGGGUGUGCACAAGGUACCUGAGGCUCCCGAUGAUGCUGCUGUAGAGUGUAGCAUCCACCGCCUUCUCAGAGCUAUCCUUGCUGAGCUUUAGUCGUGCCUCCAUUGGAGCGUGCACGCCAUGGCAGUCCUUCAUGCCUGCUUGCUCGAGCAUCUUGGUGGCAUAGGCCGUCUACGUGAUCAUGAUGCGACCACCCUCCUGGUUCACCUCCAGCCCAAGGUAGUGCCAGAGCAGCCCAAGGUCGCUCAUGCUGAAGAGACUAUGCAUCUCUCCCUUGAAGAGUUGAACCUCUUCGGGUUCUGCCCCAGCGAUGACCAGGUCGUCGACGUAAAUGCCGACGAUGAGCAGCGUGUUCGCGGUGCCACACGAGUACACGCCGUGCUCAGAAGCACUGCGUGAGAACCCAAGGGAUGCGCGGCUUGAAUCGAGCUUGGUGUUCCACGCCCUUGGGGCUUGCCCGAGACCGUACAGGGCCUUGUGUAGCCUGUACAUGCCCUGCUCGUGGCUCUUGGCAACGAACCCUGGAGGCUGGGAGACGUACACCUCCUUGUUAAGGUCGCCGUUGAGAAAUGCCGACUUGACGUCCAUGUGGUGUACCUCCCACCCGCGGUGAGCAGCCACGACAAGGAUGAGCCGCACGGACUCCAGCCUUGCCACCGGAGCGAACACUUCCUCGAAGUCCACUCCCUCACGUUGCACGUAGCCCUUUGCGAUGAGGCGCGCCUUGUGGUUGACAAUGGCGCCGUGCUCGUCCUUCUUGACCUUGAACACCCACUUGAGCCCGAUGGCUCGGUGCCCACCAGGCAGCAUGGUGAGUGUCCAAGUGGCAUUGUUGUUGAUCGACGCUAGCUCGUUCAGCAUCGCGUGGCGCCAGCAAUCCUCUUGCUCGGCCUCCACGAAUGUGGUUGACUCCUCGCUGGCCAUCAGAUGCAAGAUGUCGUCGUCAUCAACGUCCUCUUCCUCGGACUAUUGCGGUGUUGCUGCAGCCUCGCCGAGGAGAUCCCCCAUGCGCCAAAACCCGUGGAGGGCGCCAACGCCGUCGUCGGCGUUGAACAGCUCCGACCUUGCUAUUGGCGGGGUUGCGAACUGCCUUCUGGGACACGCCUUGCUUGACGUCGGGGUGUCCGGGGACACCGUACCCGGGGACGAUGUUCUCGGGGUUGCGGUUCCCGGAUCCACACCUCCCGGGCUUCCCGGGGUCUUGCUUCCGGGGUUUGUAGAGUACAUCGGGUACUCCACAGUGAAGGAGCUGCUUGCCGGGGCCUCCCCCGACGCCUCCCAAGUCCAUCGCGCGUCUUCGUCAAAGAUGACAUCCCGCGAGACAUGCACACGCUUUGAGACGGGGUCAUACAUCUUGUAUGCCUUAGAGCCCGUCUCAUAGCCCGUGAACACCAUAGGGGUGCUCCUGUCAUCGAGCUACUUCAGUUGUGGGCGCGUCAUCUUGAUGUGCCCGACGCAGCCAAAGGUGUGGAGGAAGCGUACAUCGGGCUUCCUAACAUACCACGCCUUGUAAGGCGUCUUGCCGUCGACGCUCUUUGUGAGGGAGCGGUUGAGGAUGAAAACAGCCGUGAGUAUGGCCUCCCCCCAAUACGUGAUCGGCCCCUGCUUUGCCUUGAGCAUGUAGCGUGCCAUCCCGAGCACCGUCUGGUUCCUCCGCUCGACGACGUCAUUCUGCUGUGGCGAGUAAGGGGCUAUGAGGUGACGCUGCACCCCUUUCUCGGUGCAGUGCUUGCAGAACGUGGCCAACGUGAACUCACUGCCAUGGUCCAUGAGUAGCACGCGUAACUUGUGGCCGCACUCGACCUCUGCUGUCGCUUGCUGCUUGACGAUGGCUUGCUCCACCUCGUCCUUAGAGGCGAGGAGCAGCACCCACAUGAGCCUGCUGUAGUCGUUGAUGAGCAGCAGGAUGUAGCGACGCCUUCCUGGCGUUGCCGGGGUGAUUGCCGCAGAUGUCCCCAUGAACCAUAUGUUGGGGAACGUUGCAGAAAACAAAAAUUUUCCUACGGUUUCACCAAGAUCCAUCUUGGAGUUCAUCUAGCAACAAGUGAUUAGAUGCAUCUACGUACCUUGUAGAUCGCGAGCGGAAGUGUUCAAGGAACGGGGAUGAUGUAGUCGAACACGACGUGAUUCAAAUCACCGAUGAUCUUAGCACCGAACGGAUGGUGCCUCCGCGUUCAACACACGUACGGAACAGCCACGUCUCCUCCUCCUUGAUCCGGCAAGGGGGAAGGAGAGGUUAAGGGAGAUGGCACCAGCAGCAGCACGACGGCGUGGUGUUGAUGGAGCUGCAGUACUCCGGCAGGGCUACGCCAAGCACUAUGGAGGAGGAGGAGGUGUUGGAGAGGGAGAAGGAGGCAACCAAAGGCCUGGGGUCAUUGCUCCUCCUUUUCCCCACUAUAUAUAGGGCCAAGGGAGAGGGGAAGGGCGCAGCCUUGCCCCUUCCUCCAAGGAAGGGUGCGGCCAAGGGGGGGGAGGAGUCCAUCCUCCCCAAGGCACCUCGGAGGUGCCUUCCCCCUUUAGGACUCUCCCCUUUUUUUCUUCUCUUGGCGCAUGGGCCUCUUGGGGCUAGUGCCCUUGGCCCAUGUAGGCCAAGGAGCACCCCCUACAGCCCAUGUGCCCCCCGGGACAGGUGGACCCACCCGGUGGACCCCCGGGACCCUUCCGGUGGUCCCGGUACAAUACCGAUAACCCCGAAACUUGUCCCGACGCCCGAAACAGGACUUCCCAUAUAUAAAUCUUUACCUCCGGACCAUUCCGGAACUCCUCGUGACGUCCGGCAUCUCAUCCGGGUCUCCGAACAACAUUCGGGUUACUGCAUAUACAUAUCCCUACAACCCUAGCGUCACUGAACCUUAAGUGUGUAGACCCUACGGGUUCGGGAGACAUGUAGACAUGACCGAGAUCGCUCUCCGGUCAAUAACCAACAGCGGGAUCUGGAUACCCAUGUUGGCUCCCACAUGCUCCACGAUGAUCUCAUCGGAUGAACCACGAUGUCGAGGAUUUAAUCAACCCCGUAUGCAAUUCCCUUUGUCAAUCGGUAUGUUACUUGCCCGAGACUCGAUCGUCGGUAUCCCAAUACCUUGUUCAAUCUCGUUACCGGCAAGUCACUUUACUCGUAUUGCAAUGCAUGAUCCCGUGACCAGACACUUGGUCACUUUGAGCUCAUAAUGAUGAUGCAUUACCGAGUGGGCCCAGUGAUACCUCUCCGUUAUCCGGAGUGACAAAUCCUAGUCUCGAUCCGCAUAAAACAAUAGAUACUUUCGGAGAUACCUGUAAUGCACCUUUAUAGUCACCCAGUUACGUUGUGACGUUUGAUACACCCAAAGCACUCCUACGGUAUCCAGGAGUUACACGCUCUCAUGGUCAAAGGAAGAGAUACUUGACAUUGGAAAAGCUCUAGCAAACGAACUACACGAUCUUUGUACUAUGCUUAGGAUUGGGUCUUGUCCAUCACAUCAUUCUCCUAAUGAUGUGAUCCCGUUAUCAAUGACAUCCAAUGUCCAUAGCCAGGAAAUCAUGACUAUCUGUUGAUCAACGAGCUAGUCGACUAGAGGCUUACUAGCGACAUAUUAUGGUCUAUGUAUUCACACGUGUAUUACGAUUUCUGGAUAAUACAGUUAUAGCAUGAAUAAAGACAAUUAUCAUGAACAAAGAAAUAUAAUAAUAAUGCCUUUAUUAUUGCCUCUAGGGCAUAUUUCCAACAGUCUCCCACUUGCACUAGUGUCAAUAAUCUAGUUACAUUGUGAUGAAUCGAACACCCAUGGAAUUCUGGUGUUGAUCAUGUUUUGCCCUAGGGAGAGGUUUAGUCAACGGAUCUGCUAUAUUCAGGUCCGUAUGUACUUUACAAAUCUCUAUGUCUCCAUCUUGAACAUUUUCACGAAUGGAGUUGAAGCGACGCUUGAUGUGCCUUGUCUUCUUGUGAAACCUGGGCUCCUUGGCAAGUGCAAUAGCUCCAGUGUUGUCACAAAAGAGUUUGAUUGGCCCCGACGCAUUGGGUAUGACUCCUAGGUCGGCGAUGAACUCCUUCACCCAUAUUACUUCAUGUGCUGCCUCCGAGGCUGCCAUGUACUCCGCUUCACAUGUAGAUCCCGCCACGACGCUCUGUUUGCAGCUGCACCAGCUCACUGCUCCACCAUUCAACAUAUACACGUAUCCGGUUUGUGACUUAGAGUCAUCCAGAUCUGUGUCGAAGCUAGCGUCGACGUAACCCUUUACGACGAGCUCUUCGUCACCUCCAUAAACGAGAAACAUUUCCUUAGUCCUUUUUAGGUACUUCAGGAUCCGCUGUCCAGUGUUCCUUGCCGGGAUUACUUUGAUACCUUCCUACCAAACAUACGGCAAGGUUUACAUCAGGUCUGGUACACAGCAUCGCAUACAUAAUAGAACCUAUGGCUGAUGCAUAGGGGAUGACGCUCAUCUCUUCCAUAUCUUCUGCCGUGGUCGGACAUUGAGCUGAGCUCAAUUUCACACCUUGCAAAACAGGCAAGAACCCUUUCUUGGACUGAUCCAUUUUGAACUUCUUCAAAAUCUUAUAAAGAUAUGUGCUUUGUGAAAGACCUAUGAGGUGUCUCGAUCUAUCCCUAUAGAUCUUGAUGCCUAAUAUAUAAGCAGCUUCUCCAAGGUCCUUCAUUGAAAAACUCUUAUUCAAGUAGGCCUUAAUGCUGUCCAAAAGUUCUAUAUCAUUUCCCAUCAAAAGUAUGUCAUCUACAUAUAGUAUGAGAAAUGCUACAGAGCUCCCACUCACUUUCUUGUAAACGCAGGCUUCUCCAUAAGUCUGCGUAAACCCAAACGCUUUGAUCAUCUCAUCAAAACGAAUGUUCCAACUCUGAGAUGCUUGCACCAGCCCAUAAAUCGAGCGUUGGAGCUUGCACACCUUGUUAGCAUUCUUAGGAUCGACAAAACCUUCCGGCUGCAUCAUAUACAAUUCUUCCUUAAGGAAACCAUUAAGGAAUGCCGUUUUGACGUCCAUUUGCCAUAUCUCAUAAUCGUAGAAUGCGGCAAUUGCUAACAUGAUUCGGACGGACUUCAGCUUCGCUACCGGUGAGAAAGUCUCAUCGUAGUCAACCCCUUGAACUUGUCGAUAACCCUUAGCGACAAGCCGAGCUUUAUAGAUGGUCACAUUACCAUCCACGUCUGUCUUCUUCUUAAAGAUCCAUUUAUUUUCUAUGGCUCGCCGUUCAACGGGCAAGUCAGUCAAAGUCCAUACUUCGUUUUCAUACAUGGAUCCUAUCUCGGAUUUCAUGGCUUCUAGCCAUUUGUCGGAAUCCGGGCCCGCCAUCGCUUCUUCAUAGUUCAAAGGUUCACUGUUGUCUAACAAUAUGAUUUCCAAGACAGGGUUGCCGUACCACUCUGGUGUGGAACGUGUCCUUGUAGACCUUCGAAUUUCAGUAGGAGCUUGAUCAGAAGUAUCUUGAUCAUUAUCAUUAACUUCCUCUCUAGCUGGUGCAGGCACCUCAGGAACAUUUUCUUGAGUUGCGCCAUUUUCUGGUUCAGGAGGUAAUACUUCAUCAAGCUCUACUUUCCUCCCACUUACUUCUUUCGAGAGAAACUCUUUCUCCAGAAAGGAUCCAUUCCUGGCAACAAAGAUCUUGCCUUCGGAUCUGAGGUAGAAGGUAUACCCAUAAGUUUCUUUAGGGUAGCCUAUGAAGACGCAUUUUUCCGACUUGGGUUCGAGCUUUUCAGGUUGAAGUUUCUUGACAUAAGCAUCGCAUCCCCAAACUUUUAGAAACGACAGCUUAGGUUUCUUCCCAAACCACAAUUCAUACGGUGUCGUCUCAACGGAUUUCAACGGAGCCCUAUUUAAAGUGAAUGCGGCAGUCUCUAAAGCAAAGCCCCAAAAGGAUAGCGGUAAAUCGGUAAGAGACAUCAUAGAUCGCACCAUAUCUAAUAGAGUGCGAUUACGACGUUCGGACACACCAUUACGCUGAGGUGUUCCAGGCGGCGUGAGUUGUGAAACUAUUCCACAUUUUCUUAAGUGUGUGCCAAAUUCGUGACUCAAGUAUUCUCCUCCACGAUCUGAUCGUAGAAACUUGAUUUUCCUGUCACGUUGAUUUUCAACCUCACUCUGAAAUUCCUUGAACUUUUCAAAGGUUUCAGACUUGUGUUUCAUUAAGUAGACAUACCCAUAUCUACUCAAGUCAUCAGUGAGGGUGAGAACAUAACGAUAGCCACCGCGAGCCUCAACACUCAUUGGACCGCACACAUCAGUAUGUAUGAUUUCCAAUAAAUUGGUUGCUCGCUCCAUUGUUCCUGAGAACGGAGUCUUGGUCAUUUUUCCCAUGAGGCAUGGUUCGCAUGUGUCAAAUGAUUCAUAAUCAAGAGACUCUAAAAGUCCAUCUGCAUGGAGCUUCUUCAUGUGUUUGACACCUAUGUGACCAAGGCGGCAGUGCCACAAGUAUGUGGGACUAUCGUUAUCAACUUUACAUCUUUUGGUACUCACACUAUGAACAUGUGUAGUAAUACGCUCGAGAUUCAUUAAGAAUAAACCAUUGACUAUCGGAGCAUGACCAUAAAACAUAUCUCUCAUAUAAAUAGAACAACCAUUAUUCUCAGAUUUAAAUGAGUAGCCAUCUCGUAUUAAACGAGAUCCUGAUACAAUGUUCAUGCUCAAACUUGGCACUAAAUAACAAUUAUUGAGGUUUAUAACUAAUCCCGUAGGUAAAUGUAGAGCGUGCCGAUGGCGAUCACAUCGACCUUGGAACCAUUCCCGACGCGCAUCGUCACCUCGUCCCUCUCCAGUUUUCAUUUAUUCCGCAGCUCCUGCGGUGAGUUACAAAUAUGAGCAACGGCACCGGUAUCAAAUACCCAGGAGUUACUACGAGUACUGGUAAGGUACACAUCAAUUACAUGUAUAUCAAAUAUACCUUUGGUGUUGCCGGCCUUCUUGUCCGCUAAGUAUUUGGGGCAGUUCCGCUUCCAGUGACCCUUCCCUUUGCAAUAAAAGCACUCUGUCUCAGGCUUGGGUCCAUUCUUUGACUUCUUCCCGACAGCUUGCUUGCCGGGCGCAGCAACUUCCUUGCCGUCCUUCUUGAAGUUCUUUUUACCCUUGCCCUUCUUGAACUUAGUGGUUUUAUUCAUCAUCAACACUUGAUGUUCCUUCUUGACUUCUACCUCUGCUGAUUUCAGCAUUGCAAAUACUUCAGGAAUGGUCUUUACCAUCCCCUGCAUAUUGAAGUUCAUCACAAAGCUCUUGUAGCUUGGUGGAAGCGACUAUAGGAUUCUGCCAAUGACCGUGUCAUCCGGGAGAUUAACUCCCAGCUGAGUCAAGCGGUUAUGAAACCCAGACAUAGUGAGUAUGUGCUCACUGACAGAACUAUUUUCCUCCAUCUUACAGUUGAAGAACUUAUCGGAGACUUCAUAUCUCUCGAUCCGGGCAUGAGCUUGAAAAACCAUUUUUAGCUCUUCGAACAUCUCAUAUGCUCCAUGUCUCUCAAAACGCUUUUGGAGCCCCGGCUCUAAGCUGUAAAGCAUGCCGCACUGAACGAGGGAGUAGUCAUCAGUACGUGUCUGCCAAGCGUUCAUAGCGUCUUGGUUCUGUGGGACGGGUGGAUCACCUAGCGGUGCUUGUAGGAUAUAAUCUUUCUUGGCAGCUAUGAGGAUGAUCCUCAGGUUCCGGACCCAGUCCGUAUAGUUGCUGCCAUCGUCUUUCAGCUUGGUUUUCUCUAGGAACGCGUUGAAAUUAAAUACAACGUUGGCCAUUUGAUCUACAAGACAUAUUGUAAAGAUUUUAGACUAAGUUCAUGAUAAUUAAGUUUAUCUAAUCAAAUUAUUAAUGAACUCCCACUCAGAUUAGACAUCCCUCUAGUCAUCUAAGUGUUCCAUGAUCCGAGUCGACUAGGCCAUGUCCGAUUAACACGUGAGACGGACUAGUCAUCGCCGGUGAACAUCUUCAUGUUGAUCGUAUCUUCCAUACGACUCGUGUUCGACCUUUCGGUCUCUGUGUUCCGAGGCCAUGUCUUCACAUGCUAGGCUCGUCAAGUUAACCCUAAGUGUUUUCGCUGUGUAAAAUUGUCUUACACCCGUUGUAUGUGAACGUAAGAAUCUAUCACACCCGAUUAACACGUGGUGCUUCGAAACGACGAACUGUAGCAACGGUGCACAGUUAGGGGAGAACACCUCUUGAAAUUUUGUAAGGGAUCAUCUUAUUUACUACCGUCGUCCUAAGUAAACAAGAUGCAUGAAACAUAAUAAACAUCACAUGCAAUUAUAUAAAGUAGUGACAUGAUAUGGCCAAUAUCAUAUAGCUCCUUUGAUCUUCAUCUUCGGGGCUCCAUGAUCAUCUUGUCACCGGCAUGACACCAUGAUCUCCAUCAUCAUGAUCUCCAUCAUCGUGUCUUCAUGAAGUUGUCACGCCAACGACUACUUCUACUUCUAUGACUAACGCGUUUAGUAAUAAAGUAAAGUAGUUUACAUGGCGUUCUUCAAUGACACGCAGGUCAUACAAAAAUAAAGACAACUCCUAUGGCUCCUCCCGGUUGUCAUACUCAUCGACAUGCAAGUCGUGAUUCCUAUUACAAUAGCAUGAACAUCUCAUACAUGACAUAUAGAUCAUUCAUCAUUCAUCAGAACUUUGGCCAUAUCAUAUCACAAAGCACUUGCUGCAAAAACAAGUUAGACGUUCUCUAAUUGUUGUUGCAAGUUUUACGUGGCUACCAUGGGUUUCUAGCAAGAACGUUUCUUACCUACGCAAAGACCACAACGUGAUAUGCCAAUUGCUAUUUACCCUUCAUAAGGACCCUUUUCAUCGAAUCCGAUCCGACUAAAGUAGGAGAGACAGACACCCGCUGGCCACCUUAUGCAACUAGUGCAUGUCAGUCGGUGGAACCUGUCUCACGUAAGAGUACGUGUAAGGUCGGUCCGGGCCGCUUCAUCCCAUGAUGCCGCCGAAUCAAGAUAAGACUAGUAACAGCAAGCAUAUUGAACAAAAUCAACGCCCACAACUACUUUGUGUUCUACUCGUGCAAGAGAACUACGCAUAGACCUAGCUCUGAUACCACUGUUGGGGAACGUUGCAGAAAACAAAAAUUUUCCUACGGUUUCACCAAGAUCCAUCUAGGAGUUCAUCUAGCAACAAGUGAUUAGAUGAAUCUACGUACCUUGUAGAUCACGAGCGGAAGCGUUCAAGGAACGGGGAUGAUGUAGUCGAACACGACGUGAUUCAAAUCAUCGAUGAUCUUAGCACCGAACGGACGGUGCCUCCGCGUUCAACACACGUACGGAACAGCCACGUCUCCUCCUUCUUGAUCUAGCAAGGGGGAAGGAGAGGUUGAGGGAGAUGGCACCAGCAGCAGCACGACGGCGUGGUGUUGAUGGAGCUGCAGUACUCCGGCAGGGCUACGCCAAGCACUAUGGAGGAGGAGGAGGUGUUGGAGAGGGAGAAGGAGGCAACCAAAGGCCUGGGGUCAUUGCUCCUCCUUUUCCCCACUAUAUAUAGGGCCAAGGGAGAGGGGAAGGGCGCAGCCUUGCCCCUUCCUCCAAGUAAGGGUGCGGCCAAGGGGGGGGGGAGGAGUCCAUCCUCCCCAAGGCACCUCGGAGGUGCCUUCCCCCUUUAGGACUCUCCCCUUUUUUUCUUCUCUUGGCGCAUGGGCCUCUUGGGGCUUGUGCCCUUGGCCCAUGUAGGCCAAGGCGCACCCCCUACAGCCCAUGUGGCCCCCCAGGACAGGUGGACCCACCCGGUGGACCCCCGGGACCCUUUCGGUGGUCCCGGUACAAUACCGAUAACCCCGAAACUUGUCCCGACGCCCGAAACAGGACUUCCCAUAUAUAAAUCUUUACCUCCGGACCAUUCCGGAACUCCUCGCGACGUCCGAGAUCUCAUACGGGACUCCGAACAACAUUCGGGUUACUACAUAUACAUAUCCCUACAACCCUAGCGUCACUGAACCUUAAGUGUGUAGACCCUACGGGUUCGGGAGACAUGUAGACAUGACCGAGAUCGCUCUCCGGUCAAUAACCAACAGCGGGAUCUGGAUACCCAUGUUGGCUCCCACAUGCUCCACGAUGAUCUCAUCGGAUGAACCACGAUGUCGAGGAUUUAAUCAACCCCGUAUGCAAUUCCCUUUGUCAAUCGGUUUGUUACUUGCCCGAGACUCGAUCGUCGGUAUCCCAAUACCUUGUUCAAUCUCGUUACCGGCAAGUCACUUUACUCGUACUGCAAUGCAUGAUCCCGUGACCAGACACUUGGUCACUUUGAGCUCAUAAUGAUGAUGCAUUACCGAGUGGGCCCAGUGAUACCUCUCCGUUAUCCGGAGUGACAAAUCCCACUUUCGAUCCGCAUAAAACAAUAGAUACUUUCGGAGAUACCUGUAAUGCACCUUUAUAGUCACCCAGUUACGUUGUGACGUUUGAUACACCCAAAGCACUCCUACGGUAUCCAGGAGUUACACGCUCUCAUGGUCAAAGGAAGAGAUACUUGACAUUGGAAAAGCUCUAGCAAACGAACUACACGAUCUUUGUACUAUGCUUAGGAUUGGGUCUUGUCCAUCACAUCAUUCUCCUAAUGAUGUGAUCCCGUUAUCAAUGACAUCCAAUGUCCAUAGCCAGGAAAUCAUGACUAUCUGUUGAUCAACGAGCUAGUCAACUAGAGGCUUACUAGGGACAUAUUAUGGUCUAUGUAUUCACACGUGUAUUACGAUUUCCGGAUAAUACAGUUAUAGCAUGAAUAAAGACAAUUAUCAUGAACAAAGAAAUAUAAUAGUAAUGCUUUUAUUAUUGCCUCUAGGGCAUAUUUCCAACACCAGAUCCAAGGGUUUCUGCGCCCGAUACCGUGCCUUCUCGGGAAAGGGCAGGCACCGCUACUUCAUAGAAAGACACACAUCGCACAGCUCGUCGACAUGCUCGAUGUGAGGUAGCCCACAAAUGAGGUUGCCUCGCGCCAUCUUCCGCAACCCGUCGAAGUGCUGGUGUCCUAGCUGGGCAUGCCAACGCCACGCGUCGGAGACAUGGCCCACGGCAAGGCACACAGGAUGCACGGGUCGAAAGAAGAGCUUGUAGAGGCGGUUUGGCAAGCGGGUUACCUCGAUGAGCAGCCUCUUCUACUGGUCGCGCACGGUGAGAACACCGCGCUAGAUGCUGAUGUCGAACCAGCCCUCGUCGAGCUGUCCAACACUCACGACGGUGCUCUUGAGCGUCGGGAUGAAGUAGACGUCCGUGAACGCCCUAUGAUCACCUCCUUUGUCGGCGAAGAUGACGGUCCCGCGCCCGUGGGAUCUCCACCACAGAUCCGUCCAUGAACCGUACCUUCGCGGUGAUUGAGCGGUCCACCUCCACGAACACGUCGACCGAACCAGUCAUGUGGUUCAUGGCACCGGUGUCGAGGAACCAACCCUCACUUUGCUUGCCUCCUGCAAGCGUGGGUGUGGUCACGGCUCUCUCCUCGUUGAGGAAGACGUAGCCACACACACACUCCGUUGUCAGGGAGCCAUCUCCCAUCAACAUGGUGGAUCUCGAAAACUUUGUUGUCGGGGUGUGGCUGACCUGAGUAUCCGUGCGCUCCUGCAUGGAGUCGAUGGUCGCCAGCAUCAUGGUCAGAGCAUGGUCCUCCAUAUGCGUCAUUGUCGCGCCAACUUGCGCGACCUUGUCGGGUCCCGUGGUAUUUGGGGACAUCGUCACCGGGGUGUGGCUCCCCCACACCCGAGCCUUCAUCGCCUCCCAGUCGAACAGACCCGAGAACGUUGUUGUCGUGGUGUGGCCUAUCACUGGAGUGACGGUUCCCGUGGAUGAGUUCCGUGCCUCCUGCACGGAAUGGGUGGUUGUCGAGGCCGUGGUCACGAGAGACGUUGUGCUCUCCUACACGGGCUCGACUCUUGCCAGCAUCAUUGCCGGCCCGCCGUCCACGUCAUCCUGGACGAGGUUUGUUGUUGCUGCGGCUACCUCGUCGGCUUUCCUCCUGUGGCAAUCCCGGAUCUAGUGACCCGACAUGUUACAGUAGAGACACUUGCCACCGUUGCCAGCGCCUUGCCCUGCCUGGCUUGGCUUGCGAUCACGGUUGCCGGCACUGCUCUGAAUGUAACCUCUGCCUCUGUCGCGACAUCUACUUCCCGUGGGGACGCCUCCCCCACUGCCGGAAGAGCCGUCGUGGCCGCACUGCUGAAGGCGUGCGUCCCACUGCUCCCAGGAGAGCAGUAGUUCACUGCCGGCGUGGUUGUUGGCUUCGUCUCCGUGCUCCUCGACGACCUUGAGUUGCCCUACCAGCUCCUCGAUCGUCAUGGUGGAGAGAUCCACCAAGCUCUCGAUGGAUCAGGCCAGUUCCUUGUACUGCCUGGGAACGACACGGAGAAACUUGAGAAUUACCAUCUUUUUGUCCAUGGGAUCUCCGAGCGUUGCGAACUCGGUGACGAGACCUUGUAGCCGCAAGGUGAAGCCGUUGACUUGUUCAGCGGCCUUGAACCGGAUCUCCUCGUACUCGAGGUGCAAGGUCUGGGCCUUCGAAUCCCGUACGCGCUCCACGCCGAUGCGCAGAGUCUUGAUGGUGUCCCAUGCUUCCUUUGCCAUCUUCUUGGCACCAAGGGUGAGCACCAUCUCCGCUGGGACAGAGUGCAAGAUCACCUCCAUCGCCAGCCGGUCCUCCUCGUACUCGACAUCGCCGGUUUCCAUGGCUUUCCACAUAUGCCGCGCCUCCAUGAUGACUUUAUGUAACACCCUGAAUACGAUGUGCCAGGUGUCUUCCAGUUAUUCGCCGUCGUUGCCAUGUCAUUUGCUUGCGUGUUGCAUUUUGCCAUGUCAUCAUCUGCGUUUCUUCUGCAUGUUUUUCAAAACUUGCAUCCGUCCGGAUCCUCCCAGUUCUCUCCUCUGUCCGUUCUGAGCACAGACACACUCGCACGCGCCCGCGGCACCUCCCAGUUUUUGUUUUGUGAGCUGCCAAAAAACGUUCUCAGAAUGGGCCGAGAUUUGCCGAGUGGCCUUGGUAUAUCACUGGUAGACCGCCCGUCAAAUUUCGUUCCAUUUGGAGGUCGUUUGAUGCCCCAACGGUUAACCGAAACCCCUUUUUCUCUUGCAACCCAGCACCUAACCCACCUAGCCCAUCUAACACCCCUCCAUGCUCUCCGCCAUUCGAUCACGAUCGUGUGGGCGAAAACCGCAUCUCAUUUGGACUCUCCUAGCCCCCUAUACCUAUAUAAACACCCCCCCCNNNNNNNNNNNNNNNNNNNNNNNNNNNNNNNNNNNNNNNNNNNNNNNNNNNNNNNNNNNNNNNNNNNNNNNNNNNNNNNNNNNNNNNNNNNNNNNNNNNNNNNNNNNNNNNNNNNNNNNNNNNNNNNNNNNNNNNNNNNNNNNNNNNNNNNNNNNNNNNNNNNNNNNNNNNACAAAUUCCCCACCGACGGCUAGACAUGUCCUCCCUUCCCAGCCACCUCACUCCGGCCAAUCGUGGCCCGUCACCUCAGCACCGCCGCCUUCCUCAACCUAUCCCCGCCUGCCACCUUUCCAACGCCCGUCCUGCGUGCCACCGCGGCCCGCUGGACCCGAAUCGGGCCCGCGUGAGCCCAUUUGCCCGCACCGCUCGCCCAACUCCUUCCCGUCCCGCGCCAUCCGUCGCCGGCUCGCCGGAGGCACUGCUAGUGACCACCUCGCCGCGAGCUCGACGUCCAUGCCCCGCCUCCCUCGUCGGACUCGCUGGUGAGCCGCGCGCCGCCCCCGUCCGGCUUCCACCUCUCUCUUCGUGACCCCGUCUCUCUCUCGCACAGGGUCGCCGGCCCCGUCGCUGGAGUUAGCCAGGCCGCCAUCACCGAGCUUGUUGCCGGCCUCCUCGGCCUCUACCUUCACCGGAUCCGGGAUCCCCACGCCUGGAUCUAUCCGUUCCCAUCGAGCUCCGCCGCGCCCGUCGCCGGAAUCCCUCGCGCCGCGCCCGCCGGACUUCCUCACCGUCGCGGCCUCCAUCGUUGUUGCUCUAUCCGACACGCGCAGCCGACCCACAACGACGCCAGCCCUCUCCACUGCCCUGGGCCUCGGCCCGCUAGGUGAGAAUCCCCCAGCCUGCCCCAUUUCUCUAUCCGAUGCCCUGGGCGUAGGAUAGUAUCAUGCGCUCACUUUUGUUGUCUGCGAUUUCGGCCAAGUCUCCAAGGAUCUGCAUUAUGUUAGCAUGUUUGAGUGGUUGUUACUUUGUGUAUGAGUUCCCGAAUGUUAUGAUCUUGAUAUGUGAACGUUUAUCUUCUGAUGCUCUUCAUGUUAGUGUAUUGUGGUAUGCUUGUGAGGAUUCAUCUUGAUGCCUUAAUCUUCAUUGCAAAACUGCUAUAGGAUAUAAUCUGCUGAAAUCUGCCGAUUGAUAACAUGAUUUGUGCAUCUUGUGAGUGCCACAACUUUGUCCCUGUUGACGCUAUGAUGAUGAUCUUGAUAUGCACAUGUGAUGCUCUUCAUGCUAUAAAUGUUUGUGUGAUUUGCAUUCAUGUUAGGGUGCAUCUUGACAUAUUAAUCCCUGUUGCAAAGGUGCAUGUUGCUGUUAACUACUAAAAACUGCUGUAACUUGCUGAUUUGUCAUUUUUGUUGCAUUUUGUGUGUGCAUCCUAUGGGCAUGAUGUCUACAUGUUUUAGGAGCAUGUUUAUACCAUAUUUACAGGGGUGCAAUCCAUGUAUUUUUAUAUGCCAUGUAGUGAGUGCAUCAAGCUUGUGAAGUGGGUCACUUGCUGUUAACUUUCUGUCAAUGUUGAAACUGCUAUAUCAUGUUGCCAUGUUUGCACACAACCUUAUGAUGCUACCAAUUAAUCCAUGCAUAAUCUGGAGAUGCUUAGUUGAUAUGUUUUAUUGUAUAUGCUAUGUUCUAUCAUGCCAUGCCUCUUUAUGCCCUAUAUAUGUCAUGUAACAUACGUUUUCAUUGCCAUGAACAUGCUUAUAUAAUGUUCCAAAUUCCUGUUAACUUCAUGAUGCCUUGUUGUGAGCUUGUUUUUGAGUGAUACAUGCCUCUUCUGAAGAUGCUCCAAUUAUAUGUUUUGAAGUAUGUUAUGAUUACUAUUUCACAUGCCAUGCUUGCUAAUUUUGGAUGUCAUAUGCCUCUGUUCCAUGCUUGCAAACAUGCUAUCAUAAGGUUGCUGUUUUACACUUGCUGAAAUUGUUUCAACAUUCAAUUUUGUCAUGUUGGUUCCUACUAAUCCAUGAGCCUUUUGUAUAUGAUGUCAUGAUGUUAUUUUCUCUUUGUUAUGUGUGCUUUGAUUCCAUUCCCUUGGUUGCUAUAUUUACUUAUUGUAGCUUGUCUCUUUCUUGCUCUCAAGUUGCCAUCAUAUUAACUCUGCUCAUGCGUAUGCUGCUGUGUUAUAAAGUUGCAUUUUUCAUUGAUCAUAUUGGUUUAAUCUUGAUGCCUAUGAACCUGAACCUUAAUGAUAUUUGAAGUAUGUUAUCUGUACAUGAAGUGCAUGUCAAGUUUGUGCUCAUUUGAUUCCUGUAGCAAUGUUGUUUUGAUGUUUGCAAAGUGCCUACUUGCUGUUUUGGACAGAUUGUGGUUAUACUUGUUUGGAGUGUAUGUGUUGCACCAUUGCUCCGUUUUGAGCAUGCUCUAUAUGAAACUUGCUUGAUUUUGCAUGUAGUUCCAUAUUAUCAUGUUGAAUCUUUGUUUUGAGAGUGUUUGCUUGAUGUUUGAAUGCAUUUUGCAUCAAUGCCAUGUUUAACUUGUUUUGCUCAUAUCUUCUAGGUCGUAGCUCCGAACUAAAUGAACUUUAUAUGUAACUUGACUGAAAUUUCAUGUAGAUCAUCUUUGUGCAUUUUAACUUGAUUUUUAAUAACUUAAACAUAAGGUUUAUUCAGAUCUGGACCAAUUUCGAAAUUUGCAUAUGAGGACUUACCGGAUUUGUUAUAUGUUGUUUCCGGCCUCAUUUAAACUUGCUUUGAUGUGUUGCUCUUGUAUGCAUCAUCUCUUACCAUGAGUAGCAUCAUAUAGCCUUUGUCAUGCAUCAUGCUCGGUUGAGCAUCUUGUCAUGUUUAUGUGUUGUGUGUUUACCAUGUGGUUUGCUCCUUUCCGGUUGUGCUUCUUCUCGAUAGUUCUUAUUUUGUUGCGAUCGUGAGGAUUCGUUCGUCUAAGCUUGGUUCAUCUUCGCCCAUUCGUCUUCUUCAUGGACUCGUUCUUCUUCCUUGCGGGAUUUCAGGCCUCACUACUAUCAUUGCUAUGCUAGUUGCUUUGUUCUAUCGCUAUGCUGCGUUACCUAUCACUUGUUUAUCAAGCCUCCCAAAUUGCCAUGUCGUCCUCUAACCUUUUCCACUCUUCCUAGCAAACUGUUGCUUGGCUAUGUUACCGCUUUGCUCAGCCCCUCUUAUAGCCUUGUUAGUUGCAGGUGAAGUCCAAGAUUGCUCCAUGAUGGACAGGAUUAUGUUGGGAUAUCACAAUAUCUCUUUUUUAUUUAAUGCAUCUAUAUACUUGGUAAAGGGUGGAAGGCUCGGACCUAUGCCUGGUGUUUUGUUCCACUCUUGCCGCCUUAGUUUCCGUCAUACCGGUGUUAUGUUCCUUGAUUUUGCGUUCCUUACGCGGCCGGGUGUAUGGGGACCCCUUGACAGUUCGCUUUGAAUAAAACUCCUCCAGCAAGGCCCAACUUUGGUUUUAC
rnacentral:lncRNA from 1 species